rnacentral:lncRNA from 1 species
UCUGAGUCUUCACUUCUCGGGGAGCCAAUAAGCCAAAGAUGGGAAUAAAUAGUUAAAUGGGGUGCUCCUCAUGUUCCGUGUUGUAGCCACAAUGCAGAACUUUCUUGAAAGAGGAAGCAUUUAAGUGCAUCAGCUGAUUGGACUGAGAUGUCAAACGUGGAAAUAGGAACACAAGAAUAGAAAAGUCACCUUGCCAAGCUCUCCACACCCAGGAGAGAACUGAGAGGAAGAUUAUGCCUGAGCUAACAUCUGUGCCAAUCUUCCUCCAUUUCCUUUUUUUGGAUGUGGGAUGCCAUCACAGCAUAGCUUCAUGAGCAGUGUAUAAGUCCAUGCCUGUGAACCCUGGGCCAUCAAAGUGGAGUGUGCAAACUUAACCGCUAUGCCACCGGGCUGACCCGAGGUAAAAUUAUUCCUAAUCCUAUACUUCUGCCCCUUCCAUAGAGAAAUUCCCAUAGAAUCUUGGUGUAUUCUCUACUUUCUAUGUAGCUUUUUACAUUGUUGAGAUCAUGCUAUUUAUGUUAUUUCAUCAUUUUUUCUCACUUAAGAUUAUGUAAUUAGCAUUUCCUCAUGUCAUUGAAGUCAUUUAUAAACAAAUUUUAAUGGCUUCAUAAUGUUCUAUAUUGUGGGCAUUGUCCUGAGGUUGAUCAGUUAGGUUGUUUCUAGUUUUAUUAUUAUUUUUAAAAAUUUUUUAUAAGUGAUGCUGAGAUGAACAUUCACGUCCAUAUAUCUCUGUGAAUUUCAGAUUAUUUCCUUAAAAGGCAUUCCAAGAAGUGAAUUACUAAAUAAAAGAGUAUAAAUAGUUUUAAGACUCUUGAUACUGUUUUGGUCUUAAUUUUUCAAGCGUAUUUUAUGCUUAAUAUCACCAUUUUUUUCUCUUAAAGAGUAUACCCAUCUUAAUCAUGAGAAAACUCCAAGUGAAGAGAAUGGCUCUCAACUAUAAGGAUAGAAAAUUAGUAAGUGCAAAAAAUCUUAAGCUGUAUUUAUCAGAGGCCCUAUUCAAUGCACUGUGCUUGAAACAUUAAAAUAUAAUAGGAAAUUACUAGGACAAGCUGUGUGACUUUGAGUGAGUGCCACAGCCUGGCUGCACGCCAGUCUUCUCCUGUGUAAGGAGAGAAGCAGGAACCCAGUGGUUUAUACGCUCUUUGCAGUCCAGCUUUAGAUGAUUCUGUAUUCCUUCCCAGCAGCGUGUGGAUUAUAAGGUAACAUCUUAAGGGUACUUUGAAACAAUUUUGAGUUUGAAGUUUUCUUUGAAAUGGUGAUUGUUGGAAAUGCCGUCUUGGGGGAGUGGGGUGUUGCCAAAUGGAGUAUAGGUUGAGUUUGGAAUCAGACGGAAUUGGGUUUGAAUAGAAGCUUUGCUAAUUAUUAGUCAUGCGUGUCCUUAGGUCAAUUACUUAGAUCCACUGGUUUCUUCAACUGUGAAAGGGCUGAUAACAGAGCCUAUUUCACGGGGUGGUUGGGGCUUAGGUAGACAAGGCGCGUGACUAGCACACAGGAAGUUCUCAAGAACCUUCAUCAUGAGAACUGCUAAGUUUGGUGUGCCAGAAUGAGCUUUACUCCCAGGGCAGCAGGGGAAACUGAGGUUUGGAGAAGUUGCCUCUUGAGAAAAAUUAGACAGCAAGUUAGUAAGGAAGCCAGAAAUCAUCUGUGGUUUACUCGUCCCAGUUUCAUACUCCUUCAUCAUCACAUAAUUCAGGAAAAAGCUGAAUGAAGACAAAGAUUUCUAAUGGAAGUUUGGGUGACGAUAUCAUUGCUUUCCUAACCAUGACCCAACACCGACUGCCAGUAUUAUGUGUGUACAAUCAUAUUUUAUCCAAGUAAGAUGGGAGAGUCAUGAAUAGACGCCACUGACCAACACAGAUGAGGCCUACACUCUUCUACCUGGCGUCCAAGAUCUCCCUUAGCUUGGCCUCGGUCAACUUUUCCAUGCUCACUUCCCAUUACAACCCCUCACGGGCCCAAGGUUUCAACUAAAAUCCAUAGCACAUCAUUCUCUUAACACAGGGCUUUCACCAUGCCUCUGCUAGAGCUGCUGCCUCCUUCUAGAAGACCUGAACUCUGUGUCACCUGGUAGCUUACCCCCCAUUCUUCAAGGCUCAGCCCAAAUGUCAGUCCUUCCUGGGUGAAGCCAUCUCCUCUUCCCUAGACAUACUCACUGCUCCUGGCCCUGACUGAGUUACCAAGACACCUGUGUUUAUCCCCAUGUUACUUAAUGAGGCCGAUGUGAUUUAGCUCUGGGACAUGUGGGUGCGGGACAUUCUCCUCCUUUGGCAAUUCCUGCAUAACCUAGAGCGGAUCCAAUCUUCCCAAAGAUGGGCAAGGUUUGCUUCUGCCAGGCCUCGGAAACCCAGAGAGUCUGAACCUUAACACAAAUGCGUGGUUGUUUUUCUAAGGAGGGAGCAAGAAGGAAAAUGUUCUCUCUAAUAUUUUUUGUUCCGUUCAGCAGCAAAAGCAAAUAAGAAAUGAAUAUCUUAAAUAGGUCAUCAUGCCACAGUCAUGAUUUAUGUUUUUCUCCAUUGUUACAGUGGGAAUCCUUUUUUUUUUUUCAUCUUUGGAACCUGAAUACCUGUGGCAGGGGGUAUUAGUAUAUGCAUGGUGGCUGCUCUGUGGUUCGUUGAAAGCUCUGACAAUGAGUCACUCACUUACUGAAUGAUCAUUACUGAAUCCAGUAAGGUGCUAGGGGCUCAGGAGACACACCAGCCUUUUCAGCUGAACUCAGAUCCAGCAUAACAUUCAGCCUUUUCAACCCCAGAGAAGGUCACUGUAUGGGGUUGCCCCACAGAGGUCUCUGUAGUUCUUUGCGCCUGCAUUCCACACACUUCCCCUUUGUGUCCAUCUCACUGUAAGGUCCCGCCCUCUCCUUUCUGCCUGUCUGAGCUCCAUCAUGCUUAGACAGAUCCCUCUCUCUUCUUGAAGACUUCCGGCCCCACGUACACUCUCAGAUACACAGUCUCUUCUCUUUUCCUCUAGUGGGUUUGUGUUUGCAUGUCUUAUCUCCUCUGUAAGACUCUAAGUUCCUGCACCAGGGGUUCUCAUCUUCUUUUAAACUCUUCAGUGUACUUAGCAGAUUGCUAGGUACACAAUGGGCUCUUAAUAAAUAAUUCAUUCAUCGGUAUGGACAUUCUUCACAUUCCAACAGAUGAAAGCGCGAUCCUCUAAUCUUGCUACUCAAAGUGUGGUGUGGACUAGCUGCAUUGGCAUCUUCUGGGAGCUUGGUAGAGAUGCAGAAUUGCAGCCCUGCCCAGAUCUACUGACUCAGACUCUGCAUUUUAACAAGCUCCCCAGGGGACUCGUAUGCUUGAGAAGCACUGCACUAAAUGACACCAGUUGCCAGACUCUGGAUAUUUCCUUGCUCACUUGGUCCACUGUUUUUGCUCCCCAUAUAUCUGGCUCCUCCCACAUCCCCCGACCCCCUCUCCUUCCCCUCCCUAGUGCUUCACUUUAACCAUUUUCUCUCCAAUAUUCUCCAUUCUCUUAUUCCUCUAGUCUCUCUAUUCCUGUCUACAACACACCAGCAACUCACUUUCUCCCGUCUUUUCUUGUUCUUGGAGCCUCUAGCACCUACCAUGCGACAUAACAGGGCCUCCUGUUGUUGACUCAAUACAUGCCUUGCUCAUCAAACACCUAUGUGAGAGGUAUUUGGCACGAAAUCUGAGCUCAGUCUUCUCUUGAAUAGGUUAUAGCUCUUUUUGCCAUUUCUGUUUAUCAGCUCACUCCUAACUGAGCAGAAGUUAGGAAUUCAUUGGCCAGCCAACCAUGUGGGGUGGCAGUGAAAUUUGUGCUCUUCCUUUAUAGAUGCAGCUGCUAAAAAGAAUUUGAGAGCUAAGCAGUCUUCAUUAGUUAUGCCUAAACCUUCAAUUCAAAGAAAAGUGUGCCUCACUUUAAGACACCCAAACACAGAAAAUCAUACUUGCAAGAAGGAAUGCCAGGGUUUGCUUUAAACAAUAAUUCUUCCACUUAAAAGACCUUCGAAAGGUCUUUAAUCUAGUAAUCUUUAAAGUGACUUGAAAAAUUAUAUUUACUCACAUCUUGAUAAGAGCACAGGUGUCUUGAAAUGCAGAGGAGAUGUAUCUUCAGUUUGUGUUGCUGUUCUUUAUACAGAAUCUAGGAAAAAGCCGCUUUGGAGCCUGCAUUACAAAGAAAAUUACCCCCAUUCCCCAUCUCCAUAUUUUGUAGCAGGAACUAAGCAGUUAAGUUCUGCUUCUGAAUAUCAUAUUACCUUUUGACUCACUUUUUCUACCUGAGGCUUGAUUUACAAAGAUAAUUUUCUUUAGACAUUUUAAAAAGCGAUUGUUCAUAAAAAAAAAAAAAGAGAGAGAGAUAUUCGACAGAGUCUUAAUGCCAAGGGCCGACAAUAAUUGGGUGGUUUGAGUUCUCUUCAUUUUUCUUAAAUCUCUGAUUGCUUGCAUAAUAACUUUCUUCCUCAAUCAAUUAGUCUAACAAUUCACAUCAAUAUUUUAUUUUUAAUGGUUGACUACUCAUUUCAUUAAAAAUGUAAGUGCAUGAGCUCGAUGUAAAAUGAUUCCAUUGGGAUAGGCUUAUUUAAAUAUUCAUAACAUAAAAAUUAAUAAAUCUGAGCACAGUGUUUGCAUUUUAAAAAGUCAGGCUAUUGUCAGAUGUAUUUGGUCCUAGAUGAGAUUCACUAAAUUGAAAACCUUGAGCAUCAUCUUUUUAUUGAUUCUUCUUUACAGUAAAAUAAUGCAAUGGAAAUGCUACGAGGACAGUAUUACUACCCAAUAGCUCAUUGCUUCUCUCAGCUUCAUCCAUUUAUAACUAGCUUCCCUUCCUUCAGUCUUUCAUGCUACCUUCCACUCAUAUCCCCUGGAUUCUGACUACUCAGUCAGCCUGUCUGAAAUCAAAGAAGUUAAAUGCUGGGUGUGCAUAAUGUUUAUUUCCAUUUUAUUCACUCUUUCUACCCCACUCCCCAAUUAAGUCAAUGAAUCAUAAUAGUGAACAGCAAGAGCUCUUGGGAAACUGUCUUCAUUGGGUUCCUCCCAACUGGAGGAAGAGGCAGAGGCAUCUACAUCACAGGCUGUUUGUUGUAGGUUGAUUCAUGAGCAUACAUAGCCUUAGAACCAGCAAAUUGACAAAUCUACACCUUGAGUUAGGAGGUGGAAGAAUCCAACCAGCGCAGAGCAUCUCUGAUAAGUUACCAAAGACUUGAAAAUGCCACUCAGAAAUAAGGAUGCUGGGGUAGGUAAGGCCUGUCCUCCCCCAGGAACCCCCAGUAGCAUGGUUUGGGAUUACUAUUUUCUCAUAUUCCGCCCCAAAUCACUACCCUUAGUGAAGCUUGUCUGGAUUAGACAGAAAAGGCCUCUGCUACAAAUAUGAGGCCACCUGGAAGGAUGGAUCUCAGGGGGGGUGACAUUUUGCAGCCUUCUACAGUCUCUAUCCCCAGUAGUCUGGGUAAUGCUUGUGAACCGAGUUAUUGGGAAGAACAUGGAAUUUGGAGUCAGGAGAGCGACGUUCUAACCAUUAUCUACUAAAUCUCUAAGUUCUCUUCUAGUUCUAAAAAUAUGUAUAAAAAGAGUAGAUCUUUAAAGAGAAAACCCAGGGCUGGACUGCCAAAUAGGUGACAGAAAAGUGAUCCAAUUCUACCCCAUAGGGACUUAGGUCACACUCCUUCAUCUGGAGCCCAUAUAGAGCCUCAAAAUCCUUCUCUACCCACUCCUUUGGGCAACUUCUGCAAAACGCUCUGAAUCAGCCCCUGAGCUGAACCUUCUUUGCCAUCCCUGAAGGUGAGUGAUUAACUAGGAGAAAAAAUUCAUUUCCACUUGAGGAGGGCAGUCACAGCCUCCCAGGGCCUGCACAUCCACAAGGCAUCUGACUUGGGAGGUCAAACCCCAGGUUUGAGGCUGGAAAGAAAGAGAAGCCAUCAGAAUAGCCACGACAAGAUCCCCAAGUUGGUUUGAAAUGGUCUCUGAAGCCGAGCACACAGACACGUCUGUUUCAUUCUCAGAGACCUGGGGCUGUGUUUGCGAUUCCCGUCAUCCUUUCUAAAUUAAAUUCGUUUUCUGGGCUCAGUAAGGAAAGAAAAUACUCAAAUCCAUACACUAUAUUUAUUUGAUUUUACUGAAACUUAUAAAAUUCAAUUGUUUUAUGAUAAAUGAGCCACAUGUGGAAUCCAUACAUAGAGCAGAGAGACAGAUGGUGUAUAGUCUCUCCCUGCGUAUGUACACACAGGCGAUGAAUGCGUAAGAUAUACAAAGACCCGAAUGUUUAGAGAUUGUGUGUAUAAUACACACAGCUGAAAAAUCCUGUAGUCAUCUACUCCAGAGUUUCUCAAAGAGUGGUCUGUAAACCACGGGCAUCAGAGCCUCCCGGGGUGUCUGUUAAAAUGCAGAAUGGGGCUCCUACUUCAGACCUCCUGAAUCAUUCUCAUCCACCCCUCUUCCAAGACCAGUUCUGGGUUGGUGAUAUAUUACUGGUCAGCAGGGAGCCUCUUGAAGCAACAAAUGUCAUCUGUGACUCUGAGGACCUAGUAUGUGCUUCUGGGCAUGGCUGCAUUUCAUAGGCAAGUGUAAAUGCAUUUAGGAGUUAUCAGUGAUUUUAACAUUCUCUUUAUCCCUCCUUUCCUUUAGCAGCUAGUCGUGGCUUCAAUUGUUUGUGCUGCUUUUCUUCAUUAGUCCUUCCUUCUGGGUUUGUAGCACAUUAUGCUUAGUUAUGGUGAAGUUUCCAGAACCAUCUCUCGGUUCAUCUGGACUUGCUUCUUCCCCCUAAAUCAUCAUGGCUCCUUUGCAGUUUCCUGGCCCUGCCCUUGACACAAUUAAAAGCUCCUGAUUUUCUGAAAUCCAAACAUUAAAUGGGCAGAAUGAGCCACAGUAAAAAUGAACAAUAGCAACGCUGCCUAUUUAUACCCUCUCCCUUCACCUGGAGGCAGUCCGCAAAUUUAAGCCAACGUGGUUAAGCGGGAAUACAGUGGGUCUCUUCAUCGUUACAGAAAAGCAGGAGUGAAUUGUGGAACCCGCUUAGUUGCGUGAAAAUCACUACCCAAGGGUGCCAGCCCCGUGGCCGGGUGGUUAGGUUUGUGCGCUCUGCUGCAGGCGGCCCAGGGUUUCGUCGGUUCGAAUCCUGGGCGCGGACAUGACACCGCUCAUUGAGUCACGCUGAGGCGGUGUCUCACAUCCCACAACCGGAAGGACCCACAACUAAGAAUAUACAACUGUGUACCAGGGGGCUUUGGGGAGAAAAAAGGAAAAAAAAAUCACUACCCAAGCGGUAUGGAUAGUAACUAAGUAAUACACCACAAGGGACAGAAACCGAAGGAAGAAUUUCAGAAGUUAAACGCACUAAAGGUCUCAGCUUGGCCAGGGCUCCGAGUGCAGAGCCUGACUUUGUAGCUUCCAGUGGCGGCUGUAGGUGAUGAAGGACUGAGAGGUCAGAGAGCCUUCUAGCAUUAGUGCAGGACCAAAGGUGGAAGGUUGCUAUUCUCCAGGAAUUACCUGGAUCAUCCUGCACAAUCAGGAUGGGCUGACGGCCUAUACACGAAACAGUCGGCGGCCACAGGAUUCGAAACGCCAAGCCAAGCUCCUGAAAAUGCUGAUCUUCCGACACGCUGUGCGGUGGAGAGCGAUUUUCUCCGGGAGAGCUCAUUUUUCCUUAGCAUAGGCAUCCUCUGCGCUGUCCUUUGGGAAAAGAGCUGUUGUCAAAAUUUCUGCUAAGGGAAGAAUCUUGCAGAUUUUAUUACACUACAAAUUGUUACAUGCCAGCCUCGAGUAAGAAUUUAUCGCAGCUCUUCUGUAGGAUUAAGGAGUUAGAGAUACAGGGUAACUUGUGGUGGCGGCCGAGAGAAAGCUGUGCAGCUGGAGAUGCUGAGCCUCUGCUUUCCCAGGACUGCCUUGGUGGACAGGGAAAAGAGUCGAUGAGAGUGCAAGCCCUGAUUUGAGCUGGGUGGGUGGCAUAUGUGGAAAAAGGGGCCAGUGGACCUACAGUGAUAACUGGGAAAGAAACAAGGCGAUCAUAAGCCCCUCAAAUGAGGAAGAUAACAGUUAUUAAGCACUUUCCAUGUGCCACUUACUGUGAUAACAGUUUUUAAAAACUAUGACUACUAAUUAUAAUAAUAACAUAUAAGCAUCUAAUAUCAUCUGGUAUCAUCCCCACAAGAAGCCCAUGAGGUUCCCACGACAAUCUCUGUUAUACAGACAAGGAAACUGCAGGUUAGGGAAUAAAGUCUCUUGGUCAAGGUCACGUGGUCUGAUUCCAAAAGACCCUGCUCUUCUGUUCUAUGUGCCUUGUGUUGGAUGAUGGCGCUGAAGGGUCGCGAUAGCUCUGUGUGACGGGUUUACUCUGCCUCUCCAUAUUAUAGAUGAGGAAAUGGAGGCCUACAGAACUCAGGCGUGGUGUUGCCUGGAGGGACACCUCGUAAGUGACAGCUCUGGGAAUCAGGUCCAGGUUUAUCUGAUGCUGAAGGCUGCUCCUCGAUAGGUGAGAGUAGAGAGGCUGGGGAGGGCAACCUUCAGAGCAGCAACGGACAUUGGCUGAGACUUGUGUGGGUCAGAUCCUAAUACAGGCCUUGAUGUGCCACCUCAGUCUGGAGCUGACAUCGCCCGAACCCUGAAUACAAUUGUGCAGACAGGACUCUCAAACCUUAAAGCAGAGGAUACAUUUAGACAGAACAGAACUGAGUGACAGAACAGAACUGAGUGACAAAACGCAUGGCUCAGACAAUACAGGGUGGUCAGGAAGGGCAGAAGAAAUCGGUGUGAACCCAAACGGUUGGGGAAACUCUCGUGGAGGAGGGGAUUUGAGACGCAUAGAAAAUAUGGUGGAAUUUGGAGAAGCAAAAAUUAUUUAAUGUGCAUCUUUUUAUCCGAUACCUCCAAAUGUUCUCAAUGUGCUAGACAUGAUGGAGGAGGCUGAAGAAAUGUGAAAUACAUUUUGUAGUCUGAAAUGGCUUAGAGUCUAGUUGGUGAAGUAGAACACACAGGAAGUGACAGAGAUCAAUACUAGCCAAUAUCCAAUUAAGGGCUAAAUUAUGUUCCAUUAUCUCUAAGUACUGUAGAGUUUCAGAGGACCAGAGAUCAGUAAGGGGGAGGAUGGUCAGGAAAGGCUUCUUGAAGGAAGUGGGACUUGCAGGGGAUGCAGUGGCCGGAUGCGGGGUAUAACAUCGGUAAAUGCACGCAACGGUAGAAGAACAUGAUGUGUUCACGGGUUGGUGAGCAGUGGAGCCGGUAGGGAUGAUGGCAAGCCUCAGUAUACUUGGAGGCUGGGAUGAACUGAGUCCCUCAGAGCCACCCAAAUCAUUUGGAUUCAGGUUGCUACCCUGUGAGUUAAACUGUAAAACUUCCACACAGAGGAUCAAAGCAAGAGGUGCGAAUCAUCUAAGAGACUGCCUCCAGCCCUGCAGGAGUCAGGAAUAACGGGGACUUAGAAAUGUUGCUUAUCCAUCUCUAAGGAAAGAAUAUGCCCAUCAGAUAAAGGGAUAGUCGAUCACAGAGCUGGGAACAUCGCGGGGUGAGUGUCCACUAUGCCUGUCUCAGCAAUGUCCAGAGAGAACGUGUCCCAACCCUGGUUGUCCUCCUGAGUGGCUGGUUUAGUUCUCAUUUGUAAUUACUGCAGCCUCUGUGAGCAUGGCUACGGUGGGUCCUUCCCCAAGAGAGGCCUCUAUCCUCCUCACAAAUGAGGUGGCCAAACCUCUGAAACUGGUGAUGGAGCCCAGCCUGUGGCAAAACCUCCCCAUAAGGCCACUCUAUGGGGACAUGCUGGUCUGCCACUUAGCUCCCCUGCAUGACCCCAGGGCUGUUGCAUAUGCCUCUCUGGUUGGGCACAACUCCAAGGGUGAUGACUUAGAUCCAUGCACAAGUGCACCUGGUAACCCUGUGGGGCCCGUUAAAUGAGUUUCCAUUUGAACUUCAAUAAAUAUAUCCUGAAGGCCCUCAGCAAUUCUCAGGGCUGGGGAGCAUGGAGAACUAAGUCGGAGCCCUUUUCUGGGCCCCCUUGGGCUCUGGCAGCUGAAGGAGUGUAGUCACUGGCAUCAGGAGCCACAUAUUAACAGGGAGUAAACUUCCCUUCACCACCCUCUUCGGGGAAAACAUUCGGCAUUCACCUCCUAUCUUUAACAG